rnacentral:rRNA from 1 species
GACGUAGGGCGCGAGCGUUGUCCGGAUUUAUUGGGCGUAAAGAGCUCGUAGGCGGCUUGUUGCGUCGACCGUGAAAACCCGGGGCCCAACUUCGGGCUUGCGGUCGAUACGGGCGGGCUAGAGUUCGGUAGGGGAGACUGGAAUUCCUGGUGUAGCGGUGAAAUGCGCAGAUAUCAGGAGGAACACCGGUGGCGAAGGCGGGUCUCUGGGCCGUAACUGUCGCUGAGGAGCGAAAGCGUGGGGAGCGAACAGG